GCUCUAGCGGGCAGGGAAGGGAGCGCGCCCACGCCGGGCAGGGGCGGCGGGAGCUGCCGGGGCAGCGCUCCGGGACACGGCCGUGCCUCGCUCCCGGCGCCGCGCUGGCAUCCGACCGUGCUUCGCCAUCAACCCCCGCACCGGGAAGCGCCGCCCGCAUGGGCUCUGUGAGGAGAAAAGCCGCUGCCAGCGGCGAGCGGCUCCUGCAGGGGGCGAGGCUGAGCCCCGGAGCCGCCGCCCGCCUGCCCGUGGGAGCGAUCGGCCCGCCCCGUUACCUUCAGGGCCGCAGCGGCCCCAGGGACGGGAACGAUGGAACGCCGGGAUGCCCGGGCCCUGAGGGGCCUCCGAGCUGGCCCUGCCUCAGGCUUGCCCCGAGAGCCUCCCCCGUGGUGUGGAAAGUCUCCCAGCCGGGUCUGGCUUUGCCCUUCCAAGUGAACGCUGGCAAAGCGUCAGAUCCAGAUGUGGAGGAUCAGCCUACUAAUGUUGACAUCAUGACACUCAGGAGCAGCUGGUAGAGCAGAGAAUCAAGGCUUUGAAGCAUGAAUUUGGAUCAUGUUACAGCAAACAGCUCUUGGUGCUGGGGAAACCUAAUUUUGAUUGUGGUUCUUUGUUGUCUGGGUCAAUACAAAUGAGAAUAAAUGUAACUCCCAACUUCUAUUCCUCUGUAAUAGAUAAAACUGAAACAUUUUGGACUACAUCAAUCAAAGUAUUUUUAAAUACCUUUUAAAAAUUAGUUCUCUUGUGUUUUCCUUCUGGAUAGUCUAGUUUUCUAGUUUGAUUUACUUUUUGUAAUAGACCUUUCCUCACUGUUCAUUACAGGAAUUUAUAGCUUUAAUUAACUGCUAAAUGUACAUUUUUUCCAACUUUUCUCCAUUAUAUUUUAAGGGUACUUAUAGAUAUAGUAAUUAUACUUUUAAAUAAUUCUUUCAUAUUUUCUUUUUUCUUUUUUUCCUUGGUGUUUUAAGAGAACAAAACCAUAGUGUUCUGGCUUUGUGUUGCUCAGCUGCUGUUACGUCUCUCCCACAACUUUUGAAAAGUUCAGAUACCUUCAAGCCAGUUUAAAAGACGGGAAGGAAUAUCAGAGAGACCCUAGUUUAAUCAAAAUUGUGACUGUCAAGAGACAAAAGUGAUGGCCCGCUAUAAAACCAAGGAUAACAGCCGGUAUAAUUUCUGAGUAGCUGCUGAUGAAUUUAUGUGUGCUAAUUGGCCAGGCAGUGAAAAGGUACCACUAGCUAAAGCACAUAUUGAUCAUCCCUUGCUGGAGUCAUGGAGGGGGCCUGGGGACAUUCUGGGGGAAGGGAAGUAAAGAAGACAUAGGCAGUGUUGGGAAAAUAGUGGGAAGUAGAAACUGGAAAUAAUGCAAGAACAGGAAAGGACUGGAGUAUGAUGGAAAGCAGUGAGAGGUGUGGAAUAGUUUGGGAAGCAAGAGCUGCUGAAAGGGGUGAGGCUGGAGGCAUUAAUUCUGCAGAAUGUCAGGGUGGUAAUCUUAAAUCUGAAAAGCAUUUUAGAACGAUUAAUUAGUUUUCUGAGAUAAUCAUCAUGGGGUGAUUAGGUGAAGUCUGUAGAAACAGUAGGACAAUAAAUUUCCACUUCCUAUCCUGAGAUGCUUGAUUUUAUAAAUGACUUUUCUUCCCUCAUGGAGGGCAGUUGGUCUCUGAUCGAGAAACUGAAGAAAAAUACAUUACAAAGGUUGUUCAGAGCUUAUUUGCUGAUUUUAUAGGAUUUGUGUCACUCAUCCCGCAUGCUCUUUUAUUUUUUUCAUAAGCAGCAAAGGAGUUUCCCAACAGCUUCCGCUUAGGUGUCAUCCCUGCGAGGUUGCUCCUUGCAGAGCACUCAGGGAGUGCAGUGAAUUCAUUAGAUGCCUGUCUCUAGUGGCCAAGGAUCAAGACAGGGAUUUAGUUAGUCCCUUUCUGAAUGUUAGGCAGGGGGAAGAAUAGUGGAUUGAAAACAGCCACAUAAAGGAAAAUUAUUUUUUGUGGCAAAAUUGCAGCAGAUGAGUAUGUUUUUGAAAAUCUUUUUUGGAAAAAGCCCAGUCAUUGGGAAUGAGGAAGGAAUCAGUGUCUUUUCCUCAACUGUGUAAGAAAUAUAUGUGCUUCAUUUGACAGCCUGCUUUCUCUAUAGCGUGGAAACUGGAUACAUUCCCUAACACCCAGAUAACAUUCUGCUGAUGUCUUAACUCCGUGUUAAGGCAAGAUGUGCUGUGCACCAUCCCCACUUCCACUCCUCCUGGUCUUCCUACUACAUUCCCUGUUUCUCUGGAAGAAAAUUAUAAGAGCUGCAGGCAUAUUCCACCAGGCCCCAUGGAUGAUCAGGAACCAUAGAGACUUAAAUAUCUUAGUGCCAGAGAAUUAAUAGCCUAAACUAUAGAGAUUAGAUUUCACUCCUCCCUGCCUAGUAAAAUGAGCAAAAACUUUCAUCCUGGAGAAGCAAGGAGUGUUACACAUAAAAUUUUGAACAAGCCAUUGGCUGUAUCAGGGACAUGUCUUGCAAGUCACCUCUCUGUUUUUCUGUUUGGGUUUUUUUUGCUAUCUUUUGUUUGGUAAACUGUUUCUGCUACCUGCCUAUGCUAAAAGCCCCAGCAUCAGGUGUGCUACUAUAAUAACCUGCUGUAGUUUAUACUUUUUCUUUUUUCUCUAAAUGACAAGAAAAGCCAUGACAAAUAUAGAAACUAAGAAGCUGAAGGAAUUGGGCAGAAUUUAAAUGCUGAAUUAAGAUCAUCACUUAAUGCAUUUGUCUGUGCAUUCAUAGAAUCCUUAAUCCCUUAUUAAUUUAUGUAGUGUGUAGUCUUAUAUUUUUAAUUAUUAAUGCUAGUUACAUUCCUAUAGUGUUCAGAAUUUGAACUACAUUUUUUCUUUCAGAGAUUAGAAACAGACAUAAGUACCAUGUGAGUGAUCAAAACAACUUUCAAAACUUUAACUAGUCAUGGUAUUUGUAAUUAUUAAUGGUAUUUGUAAAGGCCUGAAGCCCUGUCUUGCUAGAAUAAAAAAAAAAAAAAAAAAGGAACUGUGAAGUAAAUGUUGUAUUAUUACUACAUAAUACUGACUGCAUAUAGUGACUGCAUAUAUGCAUAAUACUGACCACAUAAUAUUUUGCUUCCCCUGGACAUCUUACUUUAUGAAGACUCUUUUGUGGCUUUUUUAGUCACAAACAGAAACAAAAUAGUGAUUAUAUAUUUUAGCAUGUCCUUUUUAGCUUGGAAAGAAGAUACUGAGUUAAAACCCUAAAACACCUUCUGUUAAAUAAAUCAGUUUGAUCUCAAUUUUUGAAGAAAAGUUGCUUUGAUAAAGCGGCCUUAGGCAUCGUUCCUGAAGGAAAAGAAUGGCUCUGUGUUCCCAGAGCUUGUAAACAUAUUGCUUGUGCCGUGUAAGUGUUUUUGUAUAACACAUAGGUUGGAAAAUGAGGCCUAGAGCUCCAAAAAAUCUUAUCUUGCUGUAAGAAUAUGAUGGUCACUAAAUAGCAAAAACUACUGUUACCAGAACCUUAAGGUUCAGUCAUGUUCUCUCUCCCUUGCUUCGGAUGUCUGCUGCUGGAAUAAGAAGGGUUGAGGGAGAACAGUGACCUGUAGCAACUACUUUUAUAAUAUACAGGAGUUUUGCAAAAUCUUCAAAAUACAAAUGCACUGAAGAAGUUCUGAGGCAGGUGAAGCUGAAAGCAUGAGCUUGUCCCAGGGUUUCACUUAUCAAGCAGAGAUUUAGCCUGACCAUUAUUGACUCCCAGUUCUAACAUAGCUUGUAUUUUGGAGUACUUUAGUUUUAUUUUCAUUUGCCUGGCUCUUUGUGAACUACCUUAACUGAAAGCAUUCAAAAAUUCUGUUUAUCCUUGUUAAGGUAUUUGGUAAGCUUUAUUUAUAAAAGUAAUGGUUAUUGAGAAGAACAGGAAAACGUUGUUUGGAAUUACUAGGAGAAUUUUAAGAAAGAGUGAAAAAAAACCCCUGCUGUGGGACGAUUUCCAGCAUUGAUAAUUCUAUUCAUACAUAUUUCAGUUCCCUGUGAUAUGGCAUAUUUUAGAAAAACCCCAUCAACCACAAAAAUCCACAUAAAAAGGUCUAUUGGUGUAACUCUACAAAUAACUGAAAACAAACAAUUCCUAGGCUAAUUCAAGGAUUUCAGCUAGUUUCUCCAGUUACGUAGUUCAAACAAGUGCAUUUUGCAAUGCAGAAGACUUAACAGUAGCACUAAUAAGCAAAAUCUUGCUAGCAAAAUGAGGUAUAAUGUAGAAUUGCAAGAUUUGCAGGUUCAGGAAGAUCACUAGAUAUCCUUGAGAAGAAAGUUUUAUGUAUGUUUCGGGUAUAUCUAAACACACCAGGAAGGUUGGAAGGAUCAUAGUUUGUAUUUUAGCACUUUGCCUGAAUGCAACACUUGAGGAACUUAAAAAAGUGACAAGUUCUCCCAAUUGCUCUCCAAUCCUGCUCACCUCUGUAUAGUCCCAGUAUGAUAUUGCUACCUGUAAAGAAAACCAACAAAACAAACCAAAACCCAAAACAGUAACAAAAGGAAUUGGGCUAGACAGCUCUUAGAGGGAAAAUGUGCAUAAACUGAUCAAUGUACAGUUUAGCCCUGCUGGAAAAACCCUGCUUAGACAGUGUAGAAACCAGCCUAGUUGCAACCCACCCAACGUACAUUUGAAUUUAAAAUUUAAAAUGCCAAAGUGAUAGCAAUUUCAUAUCUUACAUUAUAAGUGAUAUUUUUUCAUAUAAUUGGUAUUUGUCAAUGCAUCAAGCUUGAUUUACUUUUCAAAGACAGCUUAAUUCUGACAACUUUCCUCUGGGGAAAAUACCUUUACCUGCCAGUUAGGCUAUCCAAGCUCCUUAGUAGCCCACCUAGCAAGCUGCUGGAGGCUCCUGACAUAUCACACCCAGGGUAAGGAAUUAUUCACUGUCAUGGAGAAUUUUGAAUCUUUGGGGAGUUUUUUUCUGAACUAGAGUAACCCCAAAUUUAAAAAGAAUUACUUCCUUUGCAAAAUGGAAUGCUUUUAUUCGUAAUGUUAUACCUAGGAGGUUGGGGUUUUUUGAUAUAUACUGCCAAUUUUAAAUUGGAUGCAUAAACCAAAUUUUCCUUCUCAAAUUUGUACAGUUUUCAACCUCAUACCUGCUACUCUUAUGGAUUCAUUUUAAUUUGCAUUAGAAUUAAAUGCAGUGUGUUCCAAGCUGCUUGUGUGAGCACUCCUUAGUAUUUGCAAUCAUUUGAACACAAAUUACAAAUAAGAAAAAAAGCACCCAUCAAGAAGGUCGAGUCAUCUUUUUUUUUUUUUUUUUUAGCUUAGAUAUCUUCAUUCUGUUUAAUGCAACUUAAACUCAUCUUCUUAAGAACUUUGUAUAAAGCUGGAAACACUGCACACAGGAGAUCUGAGAGCAUUUAAACUGUGAAUGUAUACAUUCCAAUUUAUAGCAAUUCUUACUAGAGUUUGCUGUUAUUUUUUGUUUGUUUUUACUUGGAGAAGUGGCAGUUUUUAAGUUUGCUGUCUGUUAUUCGCAUGCAAAAUGCAGGCUUUGUCAUGUCUGAAAAGUUUGGUUUCAAAAGCAUUUUCUGAACUUGUAUAAUUUUCCUUUGCCUUUAUUUCAGAAAGACAUGAGUUCAUCUCUGCUUGCUUGGAAUAUUGGGGGUUUCCCACUAAGGCUUUUUAAUACCAUUUUUCUCUUUUAAAUUUUUGGGUUUUUUUUCUUAACCUCCGUGGCAUUAUGUGUCCCCCAAGACAAGGCUUGGACAACUCAAAAUAGCACGUGAUCUGUACUACACAAAACACAAGGGUAUCUUGAUAGCCCCUUGCAUUAGAAAUGCAUCAUAGUAUUGCAACUUUUAUUUAAAAAAACCCCUAGGGUCUUUGGAAUGUUUCUGUCUUCCAGGGGUAAUCUUUUUUAGUUUAAUCAUCUUUUAUCUCACAAACAUAAUCAUUUUCCAUAUAUCACCAUUUAUUUGUAAUACCGUGGUAAACUCUUUAACACAGCAGAUAAAAGCACAGCUUGAGGUGAACUCUUGGAGUCCAGAUCCUUAGUUGCAGAAAUACUUGGUAUUCCACUUUCUCUCAGUUUAGGCACCUAUCUUGGCAUGUUAAUAAUAGGCAGUCUGUUUAUUCUUUCUUCUAGUUACUGGCUUUGUGUACUUUUCUCUUGAUCUUGAUAUGUGAUGUACAUCAUAAAGAAUAAAAUGCAUACAAGUUGCAGUGUUA